UUUAAUAUUUGACAAUUUAGUAAUAUUUCACAAUUUAAAUUACCUAUCCAAAGCUCAAUACCAAAACCCUUCAGUUACGUUUAUAUGUGAGGCUAUUCUCAGUAAUAUAUGGAUGUGUUGUGGCUUUAGCAGAUUAUGACAAAUAUCAUGUUAAUUUCGAUAAAUAUGAUAACAAUGCACGUAAAUACUUCUGCUGGGAUUGACAGGUAUGUACUGAAAUGGUAAUGCCUAUUGGCAUAAGAAAGGGUACCAUGUUUCAACUCGACCUUUCUAACUUGAAGAACUUUGUUGAAAAUUGCUACAAAAAGUUUGGUUACUCCAACUUGCCUCGCCCUCGUAGGAUCACUACUUAUUAUGGAUGUCAUAUUGGAACUUUGGUUCUUCAAAAGAUUAUCUAGCAACAUCAUAUUUUCGAACGGACUAAAAGAUCCCUACAGUAGUGCCGGAAUAUCAAGUCUUCGAUAUUCUAGGUGUUGAUAAAAGCGUCCCAAAAUGGUUGGUUGAUCAGCGAAAGAAAGAGGUGAAGAUAAUGAAAAGAUAGAUUGUUGAAUAUUAUGUUGCUGAGCAUGUGUAACGAUUAAGGAAUACUAUGUUUGGGUGGAGAAAGUUCAAUAGAUGGUAUUUCUGAUGGAAUUAUGACCGAUAAUGCUACUACCUUCAAAGAGUUAUUGGUGUACAUAGAUCAUCGAUACUAUGGUGAAUCUAUGUCAUUUGGUUCAAUAGAAGAAGCUUACAAAAAUACAAGCACUUUGGGUUAUUUAAAGUCAACACAAGCUCUUGCGAAUUAUGCACAAGUGAUAAUACAUUUGAAAGAAACGUUAUAGCCCUGUCUUCGUCAUGGGAUCAUCCUAUGGUGGGAGUAAGUUAGUUGAAAUAUCCCCACAUCACGAUUGGGGCUUUGGCGUCAUCAGCUCCACUUCUCUACUUAAUGCAUAUUAUGAUGUUUCAGUGGAUUUCAA